AACACCUCAACUCUCAUGGUUCGCCGUGCUGAGCUUGGAAUUUGGGGGUUUUGCUGGCCUCUGGUCGGCUCCUCUCAAAUGAAUCAGCCUUCCAGUGUUUGGUGGCGUCAUGGGUGUGAUAACUAUCUACGCUUGUGGCCGUCUNCUGGGUAACCUUCUGCGAUGGAGGUUUGCUGGAGCUUAUAAACGUCUCUCCUCANCGAAGACAGCUUUUUGAAC
rnacentral:misc_RNA from 1 species